rnacentral:rRNA from 1 species
AAUAGAUACCCAGGUAGUCCACGCCGUAAACGGUGGGUACUAGGUGUGGGUUCCUUCCUUGGGAUCCGUGCCGUAGCUAACGCAUUAAGUACCCCGCCUGGGGAGUACGGCCGCAAGGCUAAAACUCAGAGGAAUUGACGGGGGCCCGCACAAGCGGCGGAGCAUGUGGAUUAAUUCGAUGCAACGCGAAGAACCUUACCUGGGUUUGACAUAUGCAGGACGACAUCAGAGAUGGUGUUUCCCUUGUGGCCUGUUUACAGGUGGUGCAUGGCUGUCGUCAGCUCGUGUCGUGAGAUGUUGGGUUAAGUCCCGCAACGAGCGCAACCCUUGUUCCAUGUUGCCAGCGCGUAAUGGCGGGGACUCAUGGGAGACUGCCGGGGUCAACUCGGAGGAAGGUGGGGAUGACGUCAAGUCAUCAUGCCCCUUAUGUCCAGGGCUUCACACAUGCUACAAUGGCCGGUACAAAGGGCUGCGAUGCCGUAAGGUGGAGCGAAUCCUUUCAAAGCCGGUCUCAGUUCGGAUCGGGGUCUGCAACGUCC